UAGAGUUUGAUCAUGGCUCAGAUUGAACGCUGGCGGUAUGCUUAACACAUGCAAGUCGAACGGAAACGAUACUAGCUUGCUAGUAGGCGUCGAGUGGCGGACGGGUGAGUAACGCGUAGGAAUCUACCAGAUAGUGGGGGAUAGCCCGGAGAAAUUCGGAUUAAUACCGCAUAAUCUCUACGGAGUAAAGGAGGCCUCUAUUUAUAUGCUUUCGCUAUCUGAUGAGCCUGCGUAAGAUUAGCUAGUUGGUGAGGUAAAAGCUCACCAAGGCGACGAUCUUUAGCUGGUCUGAGAGGAUGAUCAGCCACACUGGGACUGAGACACGGCCCAGACUCCUACGGGAGGCAGCAGUGGGGAAUAUUGGACAAUGGGGGCAACCCUGAUCCAGCAAUACCGCGUGUGUGAAGAAGGCCUGAGGGUUGUAAAGC
rnacentral:rRNA from 1 species